rnacentral:tRNA from 1 species
CAGAUUAUAGCUUAUAUUAUUAAAGCUUGUUAUUUACAUUAAUAUUAAAAUUGUCUUAAUUUGAUCUGA